rnacentral:rRNA from 1 species
AAUGAACGUUGGCGGCGUGGAUUAGGCAUGCAAGUCGAGCGCGAACCCCGCAAGGGGUGAAAGCGGCGAAAGGGAGAGUAACGCGUGGGUAUUUACCCUCGGGACUGGGAUAGCUGCGGGAAACUGCAGGUAAUACCAGAUGACGUCCCCGGACCAAAGGUGUGAUUCCGCCUGAGGAUAAGCCCGCGUCCUAUUAGCUAGUUGGUGAGGUAAUGGCUCACCAAGGCAAUGAUGGGUACUGGGUGUGAGAGCACGACCCAGCUCACUGGGACUGAGACACUGCCCAGACACCUACGGGUGGCUGCAGUCGAGAAUCUUCGGCAAUGGGCGCAAGCCUGACCGAGCGACGCCGCGUGUGGGAUGAAGGCCUUCGGGUUGUAAACCGCUGUCAGAGGGGAGGAAUGGGCGGAGGGUAAUCUCUUCGUUUUGACCUAUCCUCAGAGGAAGUACGGGCUAAGUUCGUGCCAGCCGCCGCAGUAA